GUUAGUUCUGCUGAGAGGAAUCCGUGGUGACUGUGAAUCGAGGGUGGAAGGGAAUGAUAUCUUUGGUAGCCUAAAGCAUGGGUUUUCUGUUUUGUCAUUCUUUCCAGAUAGGUUAUUUUUUUUCCUGGCACUGCCAGACACAGCAAAGUAGCAACGCAAGCAGAGCCCAUCCUAGCCAUUGUUGUCUUGAGCAUCCUGCCAGCAGGGGAGCCCAGGCCAGGCUCCUCUUUGGUGUUUGCACCUCUCCAGCCCCCAGUCAUUGCGGAUGUACUGGAAUGACUCAAGUUUCUGUGUUCUUGUUUGGCUUCCCCCAUCUCCCUCCCAACCCACACACACAAAGGUGGGAAUUUGAGAGAACUAGAAAGUGUGAAACUUUACAAGUAUGGUCACAAGCAUUUUGUGGAAUGGUAGGGGGCCAGAGCGGAGCGCUUGAUUCUUGCAAGAUUUAUACAGAAAACUAGCACCGAAGAGAGAGCUCAGCUGGUAAAAUGUGUUCCCCCAAAUCAUAGGGACUAGAGUUGCAUCCCCAGGUUCCAUGUAAGCUGUGAGGAAACGGUCAUCCAGCUGUGGAGAGACAGAAGACAGAAAUACGGAUGUGUUGGCCUUCAUCUGGGCUACUUGCAGAAGAUUGCCACAGCAGGACUUCCUGUUCACUGUCUGCACUGAAGAAAGAGCAGGAGGGUCAGAGGAUAUCGUGCUCAGAUAGCUUGCUACAGGCCCCAACCAGUUGUGUGCAUCGGCGAUCUAACUGCAUGAGAUGCCAGGGAAGGGCUAGAGGUGUCUAAGCUUGCAAAGGCAGUGAGCUUCAUUCACAUGGACAUCUAUGUAGACAUGACAAAUUGCAAAAAUAAUCCCUAGAGUUCACUUAAAGAUGAGCUACAUUUAAGGAAAUGGGAUCCCUGUGAUAUCACCAAAUCUUACCUGUUGUACUGCAAGGCCUUACAAAGUUGAAUUUUGUCAUCUUGUUUUCCUCAUGGC
rnacentral:lncRNA from 1 species